rnacentral:lncRNA from 1 species
UGGCAGGCACCAAUACCAACUGCAAAGCCCUGACACCGACUGGAAACAUCCCUGCCGGAGUCCGGAGCGGUGGUCCUUCACGCGCACUUUCACUUACUGGUCACCAUCCCGGGAGGUGUUGCGACCUCACGGACAUGAUAUGACAGAAUCAGGGGUGCCCCUGAGGAGACCCGCUCCAGGACACCCCGGCAAGCAUCAGGCGUGUGUGCGGGUGAGCUCUCCGGAGCCCAACUCUAAGAAACAGGUUAGGAAGACGUGA